rnacentral:sRNA from 1 species
CUGAUAACCCAGGAAACUGAAGUCCUUUAUUCAUUCACAGACCAGGUACAACAGUGGUGCAAGCUUCCCCACACUGUCCCUGCUAUAUGACUCUAUUCUGACCACCUCUAGGAAUGAGAGGGUAGCUCCGUUUCCAUAACACAUUCAAAUACUUGGCUUCU